rnacentral:ncRNA from 1 species
GAAAGCCGUGUGCAAUGAAAAAUGCAAGCACAGUUUGGGGAGAGAGAUCUUUUGAACUAACCAUACAUCUUAAGAAGCAAGUACACCUUCGAGUUAAAGGUCAAAUUUGAACGGUAGUGUGAGCAUCUAUCGAUACCCU